GGGUUGUGAGGUUAAGCGACUAAGCGUACACGGUGGAUGCCCUGGCAGUCAGAGGCGAUGAAGGGCGUGCUAAUCUGCGAUAAGCGCCGGUAAGGUGAUAUGAACCGUUAUAACCGGCGAUACCCGAAUGGGGAAACCCAGUGUGAUUCGUCACACUAUCAUUAACUGAAUCCAUAGGUUAAUGAGGCGAACCGGGGGAACUGAAACAUCUAAGUACCCCGAGGAAAAGAAAUCAACCGAGAUUCCCCCAGUAGCGGCGAGCGAACGGGGAGGAGCCCAGAGCCUGAAUCAGCAUGUGUGUUAGUGGAAGCGUCUGGAAAGGCGCGCGAUACAGGGUGACAGCCCCGUACACAAAAGCGCAUAUGCUGUGAGCUCGAUGAGUAGGGCGGGACACGUGGUAUCCUGUCUGAAUAUGGGGGGACCAUCCUCCAAGGCUAAAUACUCCUGACUGACCGAUAGUGAACCAGUACCGUGAGGGAAAGGCGAAAAGAACCCCGGCGAGGGGAGUGAAAAAGAACCUGAAACCGUGUACGUACAAGCAGUGGGAGCCCCACCACUAAGCCAGUGGUGAACUCCACAUACGCAUCCUUUGCUGAGGAGACGGUUAACGGAGCGAAAGCGACGUUCAACCUCAAAAGAAGCAGAGGGGGCUUAGUGGUGGGGUGACUGCGUACCUUUUGUAUAAUGGGUCAGCGACUUAUAUUCUGUAGCAAGGUUAACUGUAUAGGGGAGCCGGAGGGAAACCGAGUCUUAACCGGGCGUUAAGUUGCAGGGUAUAGACCCGAAACCCGGUGAUCUAGCCAUGGGCAGGUUGAAGGUUGGGUAACACUAACUGGAGGACCGAACCGACUAAUGUUGAAAAAUUAGCGGAUGACCUGUGGCUGGGGGUGAAAGGCCAAUCAAACCGGGAGAUAGCUGGUUCUCCCCGAAAGCUAUUUAGGUAGCGCCUCGUGAAUUCAUCUCCGGGGGUAGAGCACUGUUUCGGCUAGGGGGCCAUCCCGGCUUACCAACCCGAUGCAAACUGCGAAUACCGGAGAAUGUUAUCACGGGAGACACACGGCGGGUGCUAAUGUCCGUCGUGAAGAGGGAAACAACCCAGACCGCCAGCUAAGGUCCCAAAGUCAUGGUUAAGUGGGAAACGAUGUGGGAAGGCCCAGACAGCCAGGAUGUUGGCUUAGAAGCAGCCAUCAUUUAAAGAAAGCGUAAUAGCUCACUGGUCGAGUCGGCCUGCGCGGAAGAUGUAACGGGGCUAAACCAUGCACCGAAGCUGCGGCAGCGACACCGUGUGUUGUUGGGUAGGGGAGCGUUCUGUAAGCCUGUGAAGGUGUGCUGUGAGGCAUGCUGGAGGUAUCAGAAGUGCGAAUGCUGACAUAAGUAACGAUAAAGCGGGUGAAAAGCCCGCUCGCCGGAAG
rnacentral:rRNA from 4 species